UGGUUCCCUCUUUAGGGGCUGGCGGAGUAGAGGGCACCGUGGGAGCGGACCUAAGUAUGAGGUGAGCAAGAAACAUUUAUUGGAGCCGGUGUCAGGAUCCUAGUCGGAUGAAAAUGAUGACAAAACCCUAGAGGAUAAUGGAACCACAAAAUGGAAAAAGCCUACUCUCUAAAAUGCCAUUUGAAGUAAAACUGACAGCUGAUGAGAAAUACAUGUGACUUGCUUUUCCUACCUGGAGGCCUCAAAAAUACAUUCAUCCUUUGUGAAUUUCACAUCUACAAAAUCAUAGAAUUAAAGGAAGUUAUCAUAUUCUGAGAUAAGCCCCCAAGGGAAAAAGAACAAGAAUAUGUAUCUUAUAU